UAGAGAGAGAGAGAGAGAGAGAGAGAGAGAGAGAGAGAUGGGUGUUUUUCCACGGAGCUGAGACAGAGAGCGAGCCGCGGAGACAGGGAGAUCUAACGGUUUCCAGGGGUCGUGUUGGAAUGAUCCGGAAAACAAGGUUUCUGGCCAUCCCUCCAGCUCACCCCCAAAACCUCCCUUUUCUGCACCUCCCUCCAAGGUCAUCAAUGAACAACUGAGUCAAUGUGGGAGAGCAAACGCGCGUCGCACCGUGCAGAGGCCCUGUGACACACCCUGGAAGUCACACCGGGAAGUGAGGGAUGAGAGAAAGGAGGAGGGGGGAUAAAAUCUGAACGUGUGAAGGAAUGAAGCAAUAGGAGAGUAAGCCAGAGGAGCCGGAUGAAUAAAUAAGAGAGGGGAUACAUGAGUGAGGGGGGAGGGAAUAAGUGGGAAUCAGUGAAGGAGGGGAAGAAGGAGAGGGGGGGAGGUGAAGAUCGCCACCAACUCCAGGAUUCUUAUUCUCUGCUGACUGAACUGCUCCAGAUACAGAGAAGUUGAACACAGCCAUGAGGAAAUCAUAUCAAAACGCCAUAAAUAGGAUUUCGAGCCAAGUGGAUUCGUGGAUUUCUUCUCAAACUGAGGUCUCUAUUUCGGAAUACCGCGCCAGGAUUGAGCGAGUAAUUCGGGAUUUUCCAGGUUUUCUUCAACUAUAGAGGCCUAAGAGGAUAUUGUGGGAUUGGAAUUUCUGCAACUCUCUGGUUUUUCUUACAUUGACCUACAUCCGCCUCCUUUUGAUGUGUGUGGGGGGGCGCGUGCGUGUGUGUGAAGGAGAGUAGGACAGGUUUAAG